rnacentral:tRNA from 1 species
GUGCCCGUAGCUCAACUGGAUAGAGCAACGGCCUUCUAAGCCGUAGGUUACAGGUUCGAACCCUGUCGGGUGCGCCA